UUCAAUUUGACAGAAUAAUGUGAUAAAUUUAGAAUUUAUUUAUGAAAAAAAUCAAUUGAAA
rnacentral:tRNA from 2 species